rnacentral:rRNA from 1 species
CCACCACUAAGCCAGUGGUGAACUCCACAUACGCAUCCUUUGCUGAGGAUACGGUUAACGGAGCGAAAGCGACGUUCAACCGCAAAAGAAGCAGAGGGGGCUUAGUGGUGGGGUGACUGCGUACCUUUUGUAUAAUGGGUCAGCGACUUAUAUUCUGUAGCAAGGUUAACCGCAUAGGGGAGCCGGAGGGAAACCGAGUCUUAAUUGGGCGUUAAGUUGCAGGGUAUAGACCCGAAACCCGGUGAUCUAGCCAUGGGCAGGUUGAAGGUUGGGUAACACUAACUGGAGGACCGAACCGACUAAUGUUGAAAAAUUAGCGGAUGACCUGUGGCUGGGGGUGAAAGGCCAAUCAAACCGGGAGAUAGCUGGUUCUCCCCGAAAGCUAUUUAGGUAGCGCCUCGUGAAUUCAUCUCCGGGGGUAGAGCACUGUUUCGGCUAGGGGGCCAUCCCGGCUUACCAACCCGAUGCAAACUGCGAAUACCGGAGAAUGUUAUCACGGGAGACACACGGCGGGUGCUAACGUCCGUCGUGAAGAGGGAAACAACCCAGACCGCCAGCUAAGGUCCCAAAGUCAUGGUUAAGUGGGAAACGAUGUGGGAAGGCCCAGACAGCCAGGAUGUUGGCUUAGAAGCAGCCAUCAUUUAAAGAAAGCGUAAUAGCUCACUGGUCGAGUCGGCCUGCGCGGAAGAUGUAACGGGGCUAAACCAUGCACCGAAGCUGCGGCAGCGACACUAUGUGUUGUUGGGUAGGGGAGCGUUCUGUAAGCCUGCGAAGGUGGCCUGUGAGGGUUGCUGGAGGUAUCAGAAGUGCGAAUGCUGACAUAAGUAACGAUAAAGCGGGUGAAAAGCCCGCUCGCCGGAAGACCAAGGGUUCCUGUCCAACGUUAAUCGGGGCAGGGUGAGUCGACCCCUAAGGCGAGGCCGAAAGGCGUAGUCGAUGGGAAACGGGUUAAUAUUCCCGUACUUGGUGUUACUGCGAAGGGGGGACGGAGAAGGCUAUGUUGGCCGGGCGACGGUUGUCCCGGUUUAAGCGUGUAGGUGUGUGUUCCAGGUAAAUCCGGUU